rnacentral:sRNA from 1 species
GAAUGUGGUUCGCUGUGGCCCAGACGCGCGAGGGCCGGCGGAGUUUCUUCACAGGAACUACCGCCCUGGGAGGAAGUGUGUGUUUAGUUUCAGCACAGACGACUGGGCUUGGGAGCUUACGAGGUUGCAGUCUGGAGGGCGCCAACAGCAGCUCCCAGGGCUGCUUUUCCUGAACACGCUGCAAGCACGUCAAGGUAGUCGGAGUCCCCUAACAAUGGAUAAAUUCGUCAUUCGAACGCCUAGAAACCAGAAUAGCCCUCAGAAGAAAGAUUCUGGAGGAAAGGUUUUCAAGCAGGCUACGAUUGAAUCUCUGAAGGUCACACUGUGAACAAGAUGCGUAAACACUCAGAUUCAGAAGUGGCUUCUCUUGCCAGAGAAAUUUACACUGAGUGGAAAACUUUCAUUGAAAAACAUUCAAAUAGACCUUCUAUUGAAGUUAGAAGUGAUCCCAAAACCGAGUCGUUUAGGAAAAAUGCUCAGAAAUUACUCUCAGAAGCCUUGGAAUUAAAGAUGGAUCACCUACUGGUUGAAAAUAUUGAGCGGGAAACGUUUCAUCUCUGCUCCCGCCUCAUUAAUGGGCCGUACCGGCGGACGGUGAGAGCCCUGGUCUUCACAUUAAAGCACCGAGCUGAAAUCCGGGCUCAGGUGAAGAGCGGCUCGCUGCCAGUCGGCACGUUUGUACAGACCCACAAAAAGUGACCUGAGGACGGUUCCAGCCCUGGGCCAGGCAGAGAGGAAAAUGGGCCUGUCUCUGCCGUUCAAAGACGCUUUUGAGUUUGGGUGAUGGCUGAUGCUGGCUGUGCUAGAUUUUCCCAUGGUGCCGUUCCUUUGCAGACAGAGGAUUCGGAGAGCCCUAGGAGACAGGCCUGCAGGAAUGUGCUUCAUUAGCUGGAGUGCGCUGGUGCUGCCUAACAGAACGCACACUGGCUGUCACUAGGAAGCGCCAUACGGUUGCUAUCACCCAACAUGGUGAAAGGGUGAUGGAUUUCACUGUGAGUAUGCCAAGGACACCUCUAAACUUCCCCCAUGUCAGGCAGAUGAAGUUACUACUUUAUUUCACCACCCUGCAGAACUCUUCCUGGGAGCAGCGACCUUGUCCAUCUCUCCUUCACUGGACCUCCAGUGCUUGGCAUAGGGCUCAGCCCCGAGCAGGGCUCCAUGCAUGUGUGCUCAUGAAUGGAUGGCACCCCCCCAUGCCUCCAGGCUGGCCUCUGAUAGUCCACGCAGCCGAGCAGACAGUCUGGGCUCCAUGGGAAAAGCUAAUCCCAAGCGUGUGGACCGACAGAUGGUGUGGAGCCCAGAGCGGAGGCGCAGCUUUUAUUAGUUUGAGUUGCUUUUGCUUGGAAUAGGAUUAGCAUAAGUACCAUCCCAGGCAAGUGGAUAAGGUAAAGCUGUGUUAGUUACAUUCAGAUUUUGUUUCUCGGCCACAAUCCUGGGCCAAACUUCUGCUGGGUCAGUCCAAUUCAUGCCUAAGGGUACUACUCAGGAAGGUCAACUGGAGUGGCCAGUCCCCUUUCCACAUUGACCUCUAGAGUGGCCUGUCCAACUCCUAAGUCCAACCUUCCCACACCGGGCAGAAAGCUUUUUACUGGCCCCGUUGCCCCUGGGUGAGGCCUGAACACUUUAUGAUGAUGAAGAUGAAGAUGUGAUGAUGGUAGCUAUCACACAGCUCUCCCAUGUAACCCUCACGACAACCCUGCAAGGCAGACAGUAUCACUAUCCUCAUUUGGCAAAUGAAAAGCUGAUGGCUCAGAGAAGCUAAAUGACUUGCCCAAGGUGACUGAGCCAGUAGGCCACAGACAGGCUCCAAAUCCCAGUCUGGACCAAUUGGAUGGGCAUUCCCAGGUGGGCCGGCCUCCCUCUCUGGCAAGGCUGUCAUGCUCCCCCAGUGCCCUGGCUUCAGCUUUGGCUGGAUCAGUGAGAAGCCAAGUCAAAGAUCAAGUCAGGGAAACUCAUGUUUUCUGGCUAAGAGGUAUCACUACCCUUAAUCUCUUCACUUUCUCUUCAGCUCCAUGAAAGAGCGUUUAACUUUUGGAAGGAGUCAUUUUCCACAAAGAAACAGUUCUUAAAAAUCACUGUGGGUCAGGCUCACUGGCUCACACCUGUAUUCCCAGCACUUCAGGAGGCCGAGAUGGGCAGAUCACUUGAGGUUAAGAGUUCAAGACCAGCCCAGGCAACAUGGCAAAACCCCAAUUCUACAAAAAAAUACCAAAAAAAAAAAAAAAAAAAAAAAGCCAGGCAUGGUGGCGUGCACCUGUAGUCCCAGCUACUAGGGAGGCUGAGGUGGGAGGAUCACUUGAGCCAGGAGGAUGAGGCUGCAGUGAGCUAGGAUGGCGCCACUACACUCCAGCCUCGGCGACAGAGACUGUGUCUCAAACAACAACAAAAUCACUGUGUAAUAAUGUGUAUAAUAACAAUAAAAGCUAACAUUUAUGGAAUAUUUAUUAAGAGCCAAGACUAUGCUCAGUGCUUUUCAUGCAUUAUCUCAUUGUUUGAAAUUUCAAUAAUUUAUGUGAAUAAAGGAAUUCUGCAU